AUUAAAACUAUCCACACUUCAAGAGGCCAGCUAGUGCCUUUCUUAGGAAAGCAGCAACUUGGACUAAAAUUGGGCAUGCCUAACGUCUUUGGAGGACAGGGGAUGCUUACUUCCUCUGCCUUCCCUUGGCUGCCUACAUGU
ensembl:snoRNA